rnacentral:rRNA from 1 species
UUAAGCCAUGCGAGUCGAACGAGUUUAGGCUCGUGGCGUACGGCUCAGUAACACGUGGAUAACCCACCCUUAGGACCGGGAUAACCUUGGGAAACUGAGGAUAAUACUGGAUAGGCAAUUAUUUCUGCAAUGGUUUUUUGUUUAAAUGUUUUUUUCGCCUAAGGAUGGGUCUGCGGCCGAUUAGGUAGUUGGUUAGGUAAAGGCUUACCAAGCCGUUGAUCGGUACGGGUUGUGAGAGCAAGAGCCCGGAGAUGGAACCUGAGACAAGGUUCCAGGCCCUACGGGGUGCAGCAGGCGCGAAACCUCCGCAAUGUGAGAAAUCGCGACGGGGGGAUCCCAAGUGCCAUUCUUAACGGGAUGGCUUUUCAUUAGUGUAAAGAGCUUUUGGAAUAAGGGCUGGGCAAGACCGGUGCCAGCCGCCGCGGUAA